AGUGAACGCUGGCGGUAGGCCUAACACAUGCAAGUCGAACGGCAGCACAGUAAGAGCUUGCUCUUACGGGUGGCGAGUGGCGGACGGGUGAGGAAUACAUCGGAAUCUACUUUUUCGUGGGGGAUAACGUAGGGAAACUUACGCUAAUACCGCAUACGACCUACGGGUGAAAGCAGGGGAUCUUCGGACCUUGCGCGAUUGAAUGAGCCGAUGUCGGAUUAGCUAGUUGGCGGGGUAAAGGCCCACCAAGGCGACGAUCCGUAGCUGGUCUGAGAGGAUGAUCAGCCACACUGGAACUGAGACACGGUCCAGACUCCUACGGGAGGCAGCAGUGGGGAAUAUUGGACAAUGGGCGCAAGCCUGAUGCAGCCAUACCGCGUGGGGGAAGAAGGCCUUCGGGUUGUAAAGCCCUUUUGUUGGGAAAGAAAAGCAGCAGGUUAAUACCCCGCUGUUCUGACGGUACCCAAAGAAUAAGCACCGGCUAACUUCGUG
rnacentral:rRNA from 1 species